CAGCCGCCACGGGAAUACGGAGGGUGCAAGCGUUAUCCGGAUUUAUUGGGUUUAAAGGGUCCGUAGGCGGACUUAUAAGUCAGUGGUGAAAGCCUGUCGCUUAACGAUAGAACUGCCAUUGAUACUGUAAGUCUUGAGUAUAUUUGAGGUAGCUGGAAUAAGUAGUGUAGCGGUGAAAUGCAUAGAUAUUACUUAGAACACCAAUUGCGAAGGCAGGUUACCAAGAUAUAACUGACGCUGAGGGACGAAAGCGUGGGUAGCGAACAGGAUUAGAUACCCCAGUAGUCCCUGUCUCUUAUAA
rnacentral:rRNA from 1 species